CGCGUAGGCGGGCUGUCAAGUCUGGGGUGAAAUCCCACGGCUCAACCGUGGAACUGCCUUAGAUACUGACGGCCUCGAGGGAGAUAGGGGCGAGCGGAACUGUGAGUGGAGCGGUGAAAUGCGUUGAUAUUCACAGGAACUCCGGUGGCGAAGGCGGCUCGCUGGAUCUUUUCUGCGCUGAGGCGCGAAAGCUAGGGAGCAAAACG
rnacentral:rRNA from 1 species